rnacentral:rRNA from 1 species
UGGGGAAUUUUGGACAAUGGGGGAAACCCUGAUCCAGCCAUCCCGCGUGUGCGAUGAAGGCCUUCGGGUUGUAAAGCACUUUUGGCAGGAAAGAAACGUCAUGGGUUAAUACCCCGUGAAACUGACGGUACCUGCAGAAUAAGCACCGGCUAACUACGUGCCAGCAGCCGCGGUAAUACGUAGGGUGCAAGCGUUAAUCGGAAUUACUGGGCGUAAAGCGUGCGCAGGCGGUUCGGAAAGAAAGAUGUGAAAUCCCAGAGCUCAACUUUGGAACUGCAUUUUUAACUACCGGGCUAGAGUGUGUCAGAGGGAGGUGGAAUUCCGCGUGUAGCAGUGAAAUGCGUAGAUAGGCGGAGGAACACCGAUGGCGAAGGCAGCCUCCUGGGAUAACACUGACGCUCAUGCACGAAAGCGUGGGGAGCAAACAGG